UACGUAGGUGGCAAGCGUUGUCCGGAUUUAUUGGGUUUAAAGGGUGCGUAGGCGGUCUUUUAAGUCAGUGGUGAAAUACAGCCGCUUAACGGUUGAGGUGCCAUUGAUACUGUAGAGCUUGAAACAAUUGGAGGCUGCCGGAAUGGAUGGUGUAGCGGUGAAAUGCAUAGAUAUCAUCCAGAACACCGAUUGCGAAGGCAGGUGGCUACGUUUGAUUUGACACUGAGGCACGAAAGCAUGGGGAGCAAACAGG
rnacentral:rRNA from 1 species